UAGGGAAUCUUCGGCAAUGGGGGCAACCCUGACCGAGCAACGCCGCGUGAGUGAAGAAGGUUUUCGGAUCGUAAAGCUCUGUUGUAAGAGAAGAACGUGUGUGAGAGUGGAAAGUUCACACAGUGACGGUAACUUACCAGAAAGGGACGGCUAACUACGUGCCAGCAGCCGGGGUAAUACGUAGGUCCCGAGCGUUGUCCGGAUUUAUUGGGCGUAAAGCGAGCGCAGGCGGUUUAAUAAGUCUGAAGUUAAAGGCAGUGGCUUAACCAUUGUUCGCUUUGGAAACUGUUAAACUUGAGUGCAGAAGGGGAGAGUGGAAUUCCAUGUGUAGCGGUGAAAUGCGUAGAUAUAUGGAGGAACACCGGUGGCGAAAGCGGCUCUCUGGUCUGUAACUGACGCUGAGGCUCGAAAGCGUGGGGAGCAAACAGG
rnacentral:rRNA from 1 species